CACGUAGGGUGCGAGCGUUGUCCGGAAUUAUUGGGCGUAAAGAGCUCGUAGGCGGUGUGUCGCGUCGGCCGUGAAAACCUGUGGCUUAACUGCGGGCUUGCGGUCGAUACGGGCAUCACUGGAGUUCGGCAGGGGAGACUGGAAUUCCUGGUGUAGCGGUGAAAUGCGCAGAUAUCAGGAGGAACACCGGUGGCGAAGGCGGCUUUCUGGGCCUUACCUGACGCUGAGGAGCGAAAGCUGGGGGAGCGAACAGG
rnacentral:rRNA from 1 species